UCUCGCUUGUCUAGGCACGCGCUGCCUUUGAAAUGAAUUAUAAAUGUAGUGCAGUGUACGCAUUUUAAAACUUCCGUAGAGCAAUCGAGUGAAGUCUAAAAGCUCUAAAAAACAUGAUUCUUCUUUCUGUGACACAUUGCGAUCGCGGGCCGUAUUGGUAUGGCCCGGGGGCCGGAUGCGGCCCGCGGGCCGUAUCUUUGACAUGACUGCUCUACAGCCUGUACACAAUGGACAUAGAAAAUGUUAUAUCACAAAAGUCCAAAAUUAUUCAAUACGCCGAUGAUGUUGUUAUUUACACCAGUAGCAAAUCAGAGGACAAAUGUAUAGAAAAUAUCAACACUGAAUUUACAGAAAUCCAAAAAUGCCUAGACAACAUGGGACUUUCCAUAUCCGAGUCCAAAACCAAUAUAUGUAUUUUCUCUAGAAACAGAAACAACUAUCAAAGACAAUUAACAAUAGGAAAAUAUAAACUCUGUAUUAGUAACUCUGUAAAAUAUCUUGGUCUGCAUCUAGAUAGAAAACUAUUAUGGAAGGACUGUAUCCACCAAAUUAUCAAAAAGACAAGUAAUUCUAUAAAUAUUUUAAGAGCGUUUUGUAAAGCAAAGUGGGGAGCAGACCCAAAUACGGCUUUACUAUUCUACAAAACAAUGGUACGAUCAAUAAUGGAUUAUGGAAGUCAACUCUAUGGAACAGCAGCAGAUACACAUCUAAAUAAAAUCGAGAUACAACAAAAUAAAUGCUUAAGAGCUUGCCUGGGAUAUCUAAAGUCAACGCCCAUAAACAUUAUACAAGCUGAAGCCGUGGAACCUCCUCUUAAACUAAGAAGACAACUAUUGAGCAGAAAAUGCAUGAUAAAAACCAUUUCCAAAAAAACUUCUUACCUCAAUAGUAUACAGUCACUAACAGUUCAAGUUUUGACCCAUAGAUACUGGCACUUCAAGAAAACCCCCCUCAUAGUAGAAACUUUCUCAGAAAUAGCUGACAUUACAGAUAUAGUAUAUUCCAACCAACUCUCUCCGGUUUUAAUUUACUCACCUGAACAAAUUUUUUCACGUGAAAUUAGAACCUACUAUUUUGAAAGUCAAGAAGUAGCAUGUAUCAAUCAAACAAAGUUCAACGAAACAAAAAACAAAUACUGGCCAAACUAUGAUUCUAUAUUCACUGAUGGAUCAAAGUCAAAAGAAUAUACCAGUUGUGCCUUUUACCAUUUUGAGGAAAAUACUGACAAAAAAUUUAUUUUACCAAAAGAAGCUUCCAUAUAUACUGCAGAAUUAACAGCAAUAGUGCAAGCUAUGAAAUACAUACUCGGCUCUAACUACGACAAAUUCAUAGUAUGUACGGACAGCAAAAGUGCAGUAGAUAAACUUAAAAAUGUUAAAAUAAAUAGAUCAGUUAAUCAUAUUGAAGCAAAAAUCCUGUAUUAAGAACUAAAUCUUAAACUACCCCCGUCCGAUUUAUUCUUAAAUCAAAGAAGCAAAAUAAAUGAGAUGUGGCAUAACCUAUACAAUGCAUCAAAAACCGGAACAAACUUUUGUAAACACCAGCAAAGAAUCCCCAGAAAACCAUGGUUUCACAAAAUACCAAACAGAAACUUUUUCGCCACAAUAAAUCGAAUACGUGCUAACCAUGCACUAACACCUUAUUAUAAGCACAAAAUGAAAAUUACAGACGAUCCACUUUGUAGUUGUGGUAAAAUGGGUACAUUGGUACAUGUUUUACUUGAAUGUCCAAUAAAUAAUGGAAACAUUAACAAACUAUAUAAAAACUUAAUUCACUACAAGAUAAACCUUCCAAUAGACCUAAAUUGUAUUAUUUUUUCAGGAAAUAAUGAUAUACUUUAUGUACUUCAUCAACAUAUCAUAAAUUGUAAACUAAAAUUGUAAAAUUACUAACCAAUUUUGUAAGCAAUUCUGCGAAAGAAACUAAAUGUAAAGCAUUAUUACAGGAAAAAAAAUGGUGAUUACAAAAAAAAAUUAAUAAACCAAUUAAAAUAAAAAAAUAUAAAGAAAUAAAUAAAAAAAAUCAAACAAAAAACACAUAAACAAAGAGGGCUGAAAGAUGGUUGAACCGGGUUGAUGCCCUAGCUCUGUGAAGAAAAAAAAGAAAUUAAACACCUUACUAAUGCUACAUAUUACUAACAAAACAAAUGAAUACAUCAUGCUCAAGUUUGAUACUAUGAAACAAUUCACACAAAUUAAUUAUUCAGUCUAACAUAGUCUGGCUAAUUGGUUCUCACCAAAGCCACAAAUUCCACGAAAAAAAAAAUAGUAAUUUAUAAUAAUAUUGAUAUUUAGUAAUUUAUAAUAAUAGUAAUACUUAGUAAUUAAUCAUAAUUAGUAAUUUAUAAUAAUAGUAAUAUUUCGAACUCUUAUAUAGAACUCUUUAAUAAGUAAAUAUAUGGUUGAUAAUGAGACCAAGUUCCAUAGUUUCUUUCGCGUGACGAAGAACCAGUUCCAUUUCUUGUUAUGUGCUAGUAAGGAAGACAUAAUGAAAUCUCCUACAAGAAUGGUAAGGAGAGUGAUAACACCAGAAGAAAAACUUGGUGUCACCUUAAGAUUCUUGACAACAGGAGAAUCGUUCCAUUCUUUGAGGUUUCAAUUUAGAAUAUCCCACAAUUACAUAAGUGUGUUUGUCUCUGAUGUACUAACAGCCAUAUGUAAGAGACUAAAAAAUGUGUUAAUGCCUGCACCAACAGAAGACACAUGGAAAGAAAAUUCAAUAGAAUUCUGGGAAAGAUGGAAUUUUCCAAAUUGUGUCGGUGCCAUUGAUGGAAAGCAUGUUAGAAUAGUGUGCCCUUCCAAAAGUGCCUCUCAAUUUUUUAAUUAUAAAAAUUAUUUUUCAAUAAUUUUGUUAGUCAUAGUGGAUGCAGAGUAUAAAUUUACAGCUGUUGAUGUAGGCUCCUAUGGUAAAGAGGGUGACAGCAGCAAAUUUACUAAGUCUGCAUUAGGCAAAAGUUUGUAUGAAAAUACAAUUAACUUCCCUCAAGAUGCUGCAUUACCUGGCUCACAGAAAGUGUUAGCUUUUGUAAUUGUUGAAGACGAAGCCUUUAGGCUUCACAAAAAUUUAAUGAAACCCUACAAUAGAGUACAGGCCAAGGAUGACUUCCAAAAGGCAAUCUUUAAUUACUAUGUAGAGCCAGACGGGUAUCUGAAAAUGCUUUUGGAAUUCUCUGUGUCAAAUAUUUAGAGUGUUUUACACUCCAAUCGCUGUUAAAGCAAAAACAUGUGACUUUCUAAUUUUAGCUGCAUGUCUUAUCCAGAAUUUAAUAAGAAAUGAUGCUCGAAUGUCCUCCAAUCAGUGCAACGAAGCUGGUAGCAGUACAAAAAUAUGAUCCCUUUGAAUAGAAGUGGAGGUUUUGCCCAAAGUGAAGCAUUUAA
rnacentral:misc_RNA from 1 species